rnacentral:rRNA from 1 species
CCUACGGGGGGCUGCAGUGGGGAAUAUUGGACAAUGGGCGAAAGCCUGAUCCAGCCAUGCCGCGUGUGUGAAGAAGGCCUUCGGGUUGUAAAGCACUUUCAGUGGGGAAGAAAGCCUUGGGGCUAAUACCCUCGAGGAAGGACAUCACCCACAGAAGAAGCACCGGCUAACUCCGUGCCAGCAGCCGCGGUAAUACGGAGGGUGCGAGCGUUAAUCGGAAUUACUGGGCGUAAAGCGCGCGUAGGCGGUCUGAUAAGCCGGUUGUGAAAGCCCCGGGCUCAACCUGGGAACGGCAUCCGGAACUGUCAGGCUAGAGUGCAGGAGAGGAAGGUAGAAUUCCCGGUGUAGCAGUGAAAUGCGUAGAGAUCGGGAGGAAUACCAGUGGCGAAGGCGGCCUUCUGGACUGACACUGACGCUGAGGUGCGAAAGCGUGGGUAGCAAACAGGAUUAGAUACCCGUGUAGUC